rnacentral:rRNA from 1 species
ACCUACGGGGGGCAGCAGUCGAGAAUUUUUCACAAUGGGCGCAAGCCUGAUGGAGCGACGCCGCGUGGGGGAUGAAUGGCUUCGGCCCGUAAACCCCUGUCAUUCGCGAUCAACCGUUGUUAUUUAAAAGAUGAUAACCUGAUAGUAGCGGAAGAGGAAGGGACGGCUAACUCUGUGCCAGCAGCCGCGGUAAUACAGAGGUCCCGAGCGUUGUUCGGAUUCACUGGGCGUAAAGGGUGCGUAGGUGGUAAGGUAAGUCGGAUGUGAAAUCUCGGAGCUCAACUCCGAAACGGCAUUGGAAACUACCUUGCUCGAGGAAUGGAGGGGGGACUGGAAUUCUCGGUGUAGCAGUGAAAUGCGUAGAUAUCGAGAGGAACACCAGUGGCGAAGGCGAGUCCCUGGACAUCUCCUGACACUGAGGCACGAAAGCUAGGGGAGCAAACAGGAUUAGAUACCCUGGU